GGCCGCCGCCAACCGCUGGCACCCCACCGCCGCCCGCCGAUCCUAAACUCGGGCGUCGCUCCAAUCGCCUGCCGCCGCCGCUCCACUCGGCCUCCACCGCCGAUCCUCCACUCGCCCACAGUUGCCGUUCAACUUGAUCUCCUCCGCCGAUCCUCCACUCCACGGCCGGCCGCUUAUACGGAAUCUGCACUUUCCCAUAAUACCACGAUGGACUCCUCAAGUGGCAAGAAAAUUACUACGCAAUAGCUUGUGAACUUUUCAAGGAUGUUUUGAAUGAUCCACUAAUAUCCGAAAUUCAGAUGAAGAAUCAUCACCCACCUGCAUCCCCGUUAGGAUCAGGGGAAUGUUCCCUGUUUGAAGAUCUGAAGAAUAUGCCUACUCAUGUUAAUGCAAAUCAAGGGGGAGUUGGCCUGCGGUUCUGUUGGUCUUCCCCAUCCCAGGCGUUGGGACUUGAGAGGCCGCACAUAUGAGAUCCGAGAGGCACAUGGUUGUUUAUUCAUCGACUACGGUGCCGCUGCAUAGGGCGAACGGUUAUGGCUGACGCCUCCAUCUCUCUAAACGACGCCGACACCAUAUUCUAAAUGACGCUGCCGACGACUCCUCUCAGACCGACCCUGGACGGUACAAUCUGGUUAUGCAAAUCCUCGUGUCUUACUACUGAGGAAUAUCCGUCUAUGAAGGCAAAUCAUGUUUACUUACUGAUGAUAGUGUGUUUUGGACAAUUGGGUUCGAGAAUAAUUGUGGUGAUUUGGAAAUUCUUAACUUGGAUAAUAACACGAGGAACGAACUUGUGUCUCCUCUACUUUCUGUUACGGACCUAAAUCAAGCAGAGGCCAGAAUCACCUUCUAAGGUCUCUCGUUCGCUUCAUAGCAUCGGAAGAAGGAUAUAAAUUCAGGUUACACCCUUGGGUACAUGAAGGAGGAAGUGGGUGAGAUAUAGAUGGAAGCAGGAUUGGGACGAGAGAUAGAGGUACAUCCAGCAAAAGGGCGAGGAGCAAAGAGGUAGGUGAUUCAAAUUCAGGUCACCGUCGUUUCCUUCGAUGCUUCGCCUUGAAGUCUUUCCUCUGGUUAAGUAGCCUACCGAGUCGAAGGAGGCCACAGAAGCUUGUAUCUUCUGGGUUGGACUUUGUCUUCUUCAGGUACUGGAGCAAGAUUUAUUAUAUCUGGGUGAGGGCAUCAAUCAAUGUUGGGACAAGGAAUCUCAUCAGUGCAACAAUAUAUAGCUACCACAUUGGACCAGGCGCGUUUAUCUUGAGCAUAGCUAGACGGAAAAACACAUUUCCUGAGCUGGCAUGUGAAGGAAGCAAACAAAAGGACUGCACUCAUACGGAACCAUGAAGCCAACGAUCUAUGUCAACCAGAUGUUUUAGAUUUCAUUUUGUACAAUUGAUGUCUCAUACUUGCAUCUUUUACCUUCUGUGAACGUGGUGCAUGGUGUCAUGGUGGUUAUGUUUAGAACAGACUGAAGUGUAUGUAUGUGACAAAUAGUUAAUGGAAUAAGAAAAUGUUUGGUGCA